rnacentral:lncRNA from 12 species
GGGGGGGGGGGGGGGGGGGGGGGGGGGGGGGGGGGGGGGGGGGGGGGGGGGGGGGGGGGGGGGGCGGCCGCAGGCUCCAGGCCGGGUUUUGCGCGACGCCCGCCCUCCUGUUAGAAAUAGGAAAAUUCAAUAAUCAAAGCAAAGGGGAGCGCGAGGAGGAAAAAUCCGGGAUCAGGGCAAGUUUGAUGGCGCAUGCGCUCUGCUGCCUCCAUCCCAAACACACACACAUUUCCCUUGACUUGGAAAGUCAACCAAAGCAGCCCCAAGUGCAGAGACGUUCCAAGGAAACUUGCCUGGGCUCUCGAGGGGAGCGGCUGGUGCUGGGUGCUGGCGGAGGAGCCGUGGUGGCGAGGGAGCAGUUCUUCUGCCGUCCAUUCCGAGCACAGGAGGGACUGUGGGGAAUGAUUUCAAAGCCACCACUAUGGAGAUUAAGAGGAUGAGAAUGUAAAUCUCAAGUAAAAAGGUAAUUGAAUGUAAUAGCAAACACUGCUCGGUCUAUGUUAAUUUUAGCUCUUCCCCUGGAUACAAGGCACUGUA